UUUUAAACGUGCACAAUAGAGCAUCUGGAACCAAGAACAGCCUAAAAACACCAAAUAUAUCAACCAGAUCCAUGAAGCUGCCAGGACAUGCUAAAAAGCAAAGCAUACCACCCAGCUACUUAUUCUGACAAUCAGGGAUUUUAACUGCAUUGUUGCAGUUAAUUCAAUGCAUUUAUAUAGUAAUUAUGCAUGUGAUCUGCCAUAUCAAGAAAGCCACAGAAAGUACUUGAACAUUUAAGCAACACUUAA